rnacentral:rRNA from 1 species
GGUAUAGACCCGAAACCCGGUGAUCUAGCCAUGGGCAGGUUGAAGGUUGGGUAACACUAACUGGAGGACCGAACCGACUAAUGUUGAAAAAUUAGCGGAUGACCUGUGGCUGGGGGUGAAAGGCCAAUCAAACCGGGAGAUAGCUGGUUCUCCCCGAAAGCUAUUUAGGUAGCGCCUCGUGAAUUCAUCUCCGGGGGUAGAGCACUGUUUCGGCUAGGGGGCCAUCCCGGCUUACCAACCCGAUGCAAACUGCGAAUACCGGAGAAUGUUAUCACGGGAGACACACGGCGGGUGCUAACGUCCGUCGUGAAGAGGGAAACAACCCAGACCGCCAGCUAAGGUCCCAAAGUCAUGGUUAAGUGGGAAACGAUGUGGGAAGGCCCAGACAGCCAGGAUGUUGGCUUAGAAGCAGCCAUCAUUUAAAGAAAGCGUAAUAGCUCACUGGUCGAGUCGGCCUGCGCGGAAGAUGUAACGGGGCUAAACCAUGCACCGAAGCUGCGGCAGCGACGCUGAUGCGUUGUUGGGUAGGGGAGCGUUCUGUAAGCCUGCGAAGGUGGCCUGUGAGGGUUGCUGGAGGUAUCAGAAGUGCGAAUGCUGACAUAAGUAACGAUAAAGCGGGUGAAAAGCCCGCUCGCCGGAAGACCAAGGGUUCCUGUCCAACGUUAAUCGGGGCAGGGUGAGUCGACCCCUAAGGCGAGGCCGAAAGGCGUAGUCGAUGGGAAACGGGUUAAUAUUCCCGUACUUGGUGUUACUGCGAAGGGGGGACGGAGAAGGCUAUGUUGGCCGGGCGACGGUUGUCCCGGUUUAAGCGUGUAGGUGUGUGUUCCAGGUAAAUCCGGUUCACUUUAACACUGAGGCGUGACGACGAGGCACUACGGUGCUGAAGCAACAAAUGCCCUGCUUCCAGGAAAAGCCUCUAAGCAUCAGGUAACAUCAAAUCGUACCCCAAACCGACACAGGUGGUCAGGUAGAGAAUACCAAGGCGCUUGAGAGAACUCGGGUGAAGGAACUAGGCAAAAUGGUGCCGUAACUUCGGGAGAAGGCACGCUGACACGUAGGUGAAGUGAUUUACUCACGGAGCUGAAGUCAGUCGAAGAUACCAGCUGGCUGCAACUGUUUAUUAAAAACACAGCACUGUGCAAACACGAAAGUGGACGUAUACGGUGUGACGCCUGCCCGGUGCCGGAAGGUUAAUUGAUGGGGUCAGCGCAAGCGAAGCUCCUGAUCGAAGCCCCGGUAAACGGCGGCCGUAACUAUAACGGUCCUAAGGUAGCGAAAUUCCUUGUCGGGUAAGUUCCGACCUGCACGAAUGGCGUAAUGAUGGCCAGGCUGUCUCCACCCGAGACUCAGUGAAAUUGAACUCGCUGUGAAGAUGCAGUGUACCCGCGGCAAGACGGAAAGACCCCGUGAACCUUUACUAUAGCUUGACACUGAACAUUGAGCCUUGAUGUGUAGGAUAGGUGGGAGGCUUUGAAGCGUGGACGCCAGUCUGCGUGGAGCCGACCUUGAAAUACCACCCUUUAAUGUUUGAUGUUCUAACGUGGACCCGUUACCCGGGUUGCGGACAGUGUCUGGUGGGUAGUUUGACUGGGGCGGUCUCCUCCUAAAGAGUAACGGAGGAGCACGAAGGUUGGCUAAUCCUGGUCGGACAUCAGGAGGUUAGUGCAAUGGCAUAAGCCAGCUUGACUGCGAGCGUGACGGCGCGAGCAGGUGCGAAAGCAGGUCAUAGUGAUCCGGUGGUUCUGAAUGGAAGGGCCAUCGCUCAACGGAUAAAAGGUACUCCGGGGAUAACAGGCUGAUACCGCCCAAGAGUUCAUAUCGACGGCGGUGUUUGGCACCUCGAUGUCGGCUCAUCACAUCCUGGGGCUGAAGUAGGUCCCAAGGGUAUGGCUGUUCGCCAUUUAAAGUGGUACGCGAGCUGGGUUUAGAACGUCGUGAGACAGUUCGGUCCCUAUCUGCCGUGGGCGCUGGAGAACUGAGGGGGGCUGCUCCUAGUACGAGAGGACCGGAGUGGACGCAUCACUGGUGUUCGGGUUGUCAUGCCAAUGGCACUGCCCGGUAGCUAAAUGCGGAAGAGAUAAGUGCUGAAAGCAUCUAAGCACGAAACUUGCCCCGA